AUACUUACCUGGCAGGGGGAACACCAUGAUCAUGAAGGUGGUCAUCCCAGGAUGAGGCUCAGCCCAUUGCACUUUGGGUGUGCUGACCUUUGCCAUUUCCCCAAAUGUGGGAAAUUGAGUUUCAUAAUUUAUGAUAGUGGGUGACUGCAUUGACACUCU